UGUCUGAAGCACCAGUAAACGUCCGCGGUAACUAUAACCGUGUUAAUGUAGCGAAAUUCCUUGUCUGGUAAGUUCAGACCCGCAUGAAAGGCGUAACGACUGGGGGACUGUCUCAACGAGGAGCCCGGUGAAAANNNNNNNNNNNNNNNNNNNNNNNNNNNNNNNNNNNNNNNNNNNNNNNNNNNNNNNNNNNNNNNNAGAGUGGUAUUGAAUUAUGGGUUUAGAUGCGUAGCGUAGCCGGGAGGCUUUGAAGCCCCAUUUUCGGAUGGGGUGGAGCCGCCAAUGAAACACCGGCCUUCUGGGUCUAUAAUUCUAACUCCCCGCGUAAAAGCGGGGGAGACAGUGCCACUUGGGUAGUUUAAGUGGGGCGCUUGCCUCCUAAAGAGUAGCGGAGGCGCUUAUAAGGUUGGCUAGGGCCGGAUGGAAACCGGUCUGAUAGCGUAAAGGCAUAAGCCAGCUUUACUGCAAGACGUACAUGUCGCGCUCAUAAAUUUUAAUUUAUGACGGCGUAUUUUUUAAUUAAGAUGCGUUGAGUUGCGAAAGCAGAACUUAGUGAACCGACCGCUCUUCGUAGAAAGGCGGAAGAUCAUCAGACAAAAGCUACCCCGGGGAUAACAGGCUGGUCGUGCCCAAGAGUCCAUAUCGACGGCACGGUUCGGCACCUCGAUGUCGGCUCAUCACAUCCUGGAGGGGGAGCACCUUCCAAGGGUAUGGCUGUUCGCCAUUUAAAGUGGUACGUGAGCUGGGUUCAAACCGUCAACCAAAACUUGUUGCUGUUAAACAAGUUUGGCGGCUCCCGAUAGCAAUAUCGGGAUGCAAAAACUGACUCAUAUCGGUGAAAUCCUAGUAGACAUUCAACCUGUCGUAUGCUAGGAUAAUACCGAGGGAAGUUUUAAAUUAUUUUGCGAUGAAAAAGUUGUCUAGUGCUAGAUUAUCUUAUAUAGCCGGAUUCCUUGAUGGAGACGGAAGUGUGUAUAUCAAGCUGACAAAAAAUAAAACUUAUCGGUUUAAAUAUCAGGUAAGUUCUUAUAUUGUUUUUUAUCAAAGUAGUAUUAAUAUACAAUUUCUUCAAAAUCUUCAAAAAGAAUUAAGUAUUGGCUAUGUAAGAAAAAGAAAUGAUGGAGUUUCGGAGUUUAUUAUAGGCGACGAGAAAUCUCAAUUAGAAUUAAUUGAGAAAAUAUUGCCCUACACGAAACUUAAACUGGAGCAGCUUCAAUUGAUGAAGAAAAUAUUGCGUAAAAAGAAAUUUGUGAAAUGCGCAGAUGGCUUUCUGAAGCUUUGUGGACUAAUUGAUGGAUAUAAAAAUCUCAAUUAUUCUAAAAAGCGAUCUCAAAAUAGUAUUGAGGUUAGAAAAGUAUUGGUGCAAAAUAAUUUAAUAACCCCGUAGAGACUGUGGAAAUAUUACUAGUAUUUCCCGAUUCAAUCGUAAAUGGUUGGAUAAAACGUCAGUACUCCAAUUGAAUUGGAGUGUGGUAUAGUCCAUGCCAUUGGCAACAAUGGAAAAUUACGAGAAUUUCGUAAAUACAUGCGUGAGACAGGUUGGUCUCCUAUCUGCCGCAGGCGUUAGAAGUUUGAGGGAAGUCUUUCCUAGUACGAGAGGACCGGAAAGAACGAACCUCUGGUCUACCAGUUGUCCUGCCAAGGGCAUUGCUGGGUAGCUAAGUUCGGACGGGAUAAGCGCUGAAAGCAUAUAAGCGCGAAGCCUCUCCCGAGAUUAGACUUCAUAGAUUCCUUGUAGAUGACAAGGUUGAUAGGCCAUAGGUGGAAGCGCAGCAAUGCGUGAAGCCGAGUGGUACUAAUAAAU
rnacentral:rRNA from 1 species